CCAGAAGAUUGGAUGGCUGCUCUUGAAACUCAAGAGAGGAAAGUCCGGGCUCCAUGGAAUGAAGAUGCCGGAUAAUGCCCGGCGGGGGAUAAAACCCUUAGGGAAAGUGCCACAGAAAACAAACCGCCUAUUUGAUGUCCUCGGAUAUCAUGCAAGGUAAGGGUGAAAAGGCGAGGUAAGAGCUCACCGCGAUGCUUGUAAAAGGAUCGGCAUGGUAAACCCCAUCUGGAGCAAGACCAAAUAGAGAGAGCAUGAUUCAAGCAAUUGAUCAGGCGUAUUCCACGCUGUUCUCUGGGUAGGUUGCACGAGAUGUUUGGUAACAAGCAUCCAAGAUGAAUAGUCGUCACCUUGUAAAAGGUACAGAACCCGGCUUAUAGAUCUUCUGGUUUA
rnacentral:RNase_P_RNA from 1 species